GACGAACGCUGGCGGCGUGCUUAACACAUGCAAGUCGAACGGAAAGGCCCUGCUUUUGUGCGGUGCCCGAGUGGCGAACGGGUGAGUAACACGUGAGUAACGUGCCCUUGACUUUGGGAUAACUUCAGGAAACUGGGGUUAAUACCGGAUAGGAGCUCCUGCUGCAUGGUGGGGGUUGGAAAGUUUCGGCGGUUGGGGAUGGACUCGCGGCUUAUCAGCUUGUUGGUGGGGUAGUGGCUUACCAAGGCUUUGACGGGUAGCCGGCCUGAGAGGGUGACCGGCCACAUUGGGACUGAGGUACGGCCCAGACUCCUACGGGAGGCAGCGGUGGGGAAUAUUGCACAAUGGGCGGAAGCCUGAUGCAGCAGCGCCGCGUGCGGGAUGACGGCCUUCGGGUUGUAAACCGCUUUCGCCUGUGACGAAGCGUGAGUGACGGUAAUGGGUAAAGAAGCACCGGCUAACUACGUG
rnacentral:rRNA from 1 species